rnacentral:lncRNA from 1 species
AUUAAACCAGUUUUGAAGGAAAUCAAUAAUUAUAGAAAUUCUGAAGAUAUUUACCUUUUGUCAUGGUUCAGGGCAAGAAUACACCACACAACUCCAUUUAUUCCAGAGACAUGACUAGUUUCUGGAGUCUCGCUACUUUGUGUGUAUGGCCAAAACUAUUAUAUACGGUAGAUGAGAAACAGACUUCAGCAUAGCUACGUUAGCCUUUGUGUGAUAUUUGAUAUCCUAUGGAAGGAAAAACAAUAUUCUUGAGAACUUUCACAGGAAAAGUCGCAGGACAGUUCCUUCUUGCAUUAUGGAAAGCAAGCACAGCUCCAUUCUCACCCCAGCCUGUCUCCCAGUGGUGGAUGACAAACCAUGCUGGAUCAUCAGCUGAGAGACCCCCCCAUCCUGCAGGCAUUUGCAUCUCUGAGAUAAUAAGCCACACAGCUAUAUGUGAACACACUUUCAAGGGUUGA